GCUGGAGCUGACCUCUCCCGGCGGCGGGCGGUUAGGGGAAAGUACCUGGGAGAAAGGUAGAGGAGGUAAGGGGACCCUUGGGGGGUGCCCCUACGGGCUACCAGGGUUGAACGCACAGGCAUGGUCACGUCGGGGUAUUGCCAAGCUUUUGGCGCAGCUGGUCGGGUGGCCAGGCUGCAUGCGGCUUAGCAGGAGACGUCCUGGGCUGUUUGCGCAGGACCUCUGGAGGCCCUCGAGAUGGUCGCAAGCGGAAAGGUGCUGGAGAAUCUGGUAAAAGCACCAUUGUGAAGCAGAUGAGGAUCCUGCAUGUUAAUGGGUUUAAUGGAGAGGGCGGCGAAGAGGACCCGCAGGCUGCAAGGAGCAACAGCGAUGGCAGUGAGAAGGCAACCAAAGUGCAGGACAUCAAAAACAACCUGAAAGAGGCGAUUGAAACCAUUGUGGCCGCCAUGAGCAACCUGGUGCCCCCCGUGGAGCUGGCCAACCCCGAGAACCAGUUCAGAGUGGACUACAUUCUGAGUGUGAUGAACGUGCCUGACUUUGACUUCCCUCCCGAAUUCUAUGAGCACGCCAAGGCUCUGUGGGAGGAUGAAGGAGUGCGUGCCUGCUACGAACGCUCCAACGAGUACCAGCUGAUUGACUGUGCCCAGUACUUCCUGGACAAGAUCGAUGUGAUCAA
rnacentral:sRNA from 1 species